rnacentral:rRNA from 1 species
GGAGAGGGAAACAACCCAGACCGCCAGCUAAGGUCCCCAAGYUAUCGCUAAGUGGGAAACGAUGUGGGAAGGCUCAGACAGCCAGGAUGUUGGCUUAGAAGCAGCCAUCAUUUAAAGAAAGCGUAAUAGCUCACUGGUCGAGUCGGCCUGCGCGGAAGAUGUAACGGGGCUAAGCGAUACACCGAAGCUGCGGCAAUGUCCUUAUGGAUAUUGGGUAGGGGAGCGUUGUGUAAGCUGUUGAAGGUGWGCUGAGAGGCWUGCUGGAGGUAUCACAAGUGCGAAUGCUGACAUGAGUAACGAUAAAGGGGGUGAAAAACCUCCUCGCCGGAAGACCAAGGGUUCCUGUCCAACGUUAAUCGGGGCAGGGUAAGUCGGCCCCUAAGGCGAGGCCGAAAGGCGUAGUCGAUGGGAAACGGGUUAAUAUUCCCGUACUGCUGCUUACUGCGAUGGGGGGACGGAGAAGGCUAGGUGGGCCUGGCGAUGGUUGUCCAGGUUCAAGNAAAGGGGGUGAAAAACCUCCUCGCCGGAAGACCAAGGGUUCCUGUCCAACGUUAAUCGGGGCAGGGUAAGUCGGCCCCUAAGGCGAGGCCGAAAGGCGUAGUCGAUGGGAAACGGGUUAAUAUUCCCGUACUGCURCUUACUGCGAUGGGGGGACGGAGAAGGCUAGGUGGGCCUGGCGAUGGUUGUCCAGGUUCAAGUGCGUAGGCUGAUUUCUUAGGCAAAUCCGGGAAAUCAAGGCCGAGACACGAUGUCGAGCCACCAAGGUGGUGAAGUCAUUGAUGCCAUGCUUCCGGGAAAAGCCUCUAAGCUUCAGGUAAGUAGGAACCGUACUCCAAACCGACACAGGUGGUCGGGUAGAGAAUACCAAGGCGCUUGAGAGAACUCGGGUGAAGGAACUAGGCAAAAUGGUACCGUAACUUCGGGAGAAGGUACGCUGCCCACGG